GUCAGUGUGGCGUAGUGGUUUAAGCAUUAGACUAUGACUCUGGAGACCAGGGUUCAAACCCGUGUUCAGCCA